AUUCCACCAUUUCGCUUAUGGCAGUUUCAGACUCCGCCUCCUCUUUUUUCUUCUCAAAGCAAACGUCAGGUCCAUUUUCUGUCUCACAACUGGUCCAUUUGGUGUUCUCCUCUGCAUUUCAUUAACCAGGUCCUUACGAGCACCCUCAAGGGCUGCCUGAUCAAAUUCCUCUGGAAAGCUGGAGACUGAUGAUGCAGCAAGAAUGGUUGCCAGCUGAGGAACCUUCUGGCAGAAAACUUGUUGGACAUUCUUAGGCCAGUGUAAGAGCUACAUUUCUGAAGUUGUGAGCACUGCAAAUGACCGUUUGAAGAAUUUGUGCUUUCCCUCAAAGCACAUUGUCCAGAUGUCUGAAAGUAGACCAGAUGCCUUAAUCAGGUGAGGAUAAUGCUCAAUGAAGUGGUGCUUUGGAUGUAGGCUGAAAUCAGGGAAUGUACUUUGCCUUGUUGUUACAGCCAACUCAACAAUGUCUUUAAUGUUGUGUUUACACCGGGUGCGACAGCGGCGACAGGUUUCCAUGUAAUCCCUAUGGAAGGACGCGUUGUAGUGCCAAGCCACACGACGCAAUGGACGUGAAUGAAACGACGCGAGUGAAGCGAUUUUAAGCGAUCGGCGCGAUAUCGCGUCACAUUGCCCUCCUCCCCAAGUUGAAAAAUCUGAACUUUUUUGUCUUGUCGUACCGCGAUGACCAAUCAGUGACUGGAUAUGUAGUGACAUGGAAAUGUCUGGAGUUUGACUGAGUUGGAUGU